rnacentral:rRNA from 1 species
AACGAACGCUGGCGGCAUGCCUAACACAUGCAAGUCGAACGAGACCUUCGGGUCUAGUGGCGCACGGGUGCGUAACGCGUGGGAACCUGCCCGUAGGUUCGGAAUAACUCCCCGAAAGGGGUGCUAAUACCGGAUAAUGUCUUCGGACCAAAGAUUUAUCGCCUUUGGAUGGGCCCGCGUUGGAUUAGCUAGUUGGUAGGGUAAAAGCCUACCAAGGCGACGAUCCAUAGCUGGUCUGAGAGGAUGAUCAGCCACACUGGGACUGAGACACGGCCCAGACUCCUACGGGAGGGAGCAGUGGGGAAUAUUGGACAAUGGGCGAAAGCCUGAUCCAGCAAUGCCGCGUGAGUGAUGAAGGCCUUAGGGUUGUAAAGCUCUUUUACCCGGGAUGAUAAUGACAGUACCGGGAGAAUAAGCUCCGGCUAACUCCGUG